rnacentral:lncRNA from 1 species
GCUUGUUGUACGCCAACUUCAUGGCCCCACCGGCGAAACGUCUUAGGAUGACCAUGAGCGAAGUGGUGCAGGACGUGUCGAAGGAAAAGAUCGACCCGGGCAAGCGCGCCCUGAUGUUUCAGCUCAUGUGCAACGAUUUGGACGGAAAAGAAGUAGAGCUGCCCCAAGUACGCUACUUGCUGCCCAAGCAAGACCAAGAGGCUGCAGACCCUCCAGUCUGAACGG